GUCCUCAUUAAAUCCGAUCCAAAUAUAGUCUCUUUAUAGGAAUAAUUAUUCAAAAAGUCGUUCAGAUGGCGGAUUUGGGGGUGGGGGCGAACGGGCCGUUUACCCAUGGAUUGGACAAAGUACGGUGUUUUAGCUUAAAAUGGUCAAUAUUGUCUUUAGUCUCGCUACACUCGGUGAUAUUUAUGCCCCACCUACGAUAGUAGAGGGGCAUUAUGUUUUCUGGUCUGUGCCUCCGUUCUUCCGUCCGUUCGUUCGUCCGUCCGUCUGUGCGUCCGUUCGUCCGUCCGCUUCAGGUUAAAGUUUUUGGUCAAGGUAGUUUUUGAAGAAGUUGAAGUCCAAUCAACUUGAAACUUAGUACACAUCUUCUCCAUGAUAUUAUCUUUCUUAUUUUACUGCCAAAUUAUAGUUUUGACCCCAAUUUCAUGGUCCACUGAAUAUAGAAAAUGAUAGUGCGAAGUUCAGGUUAAAGUUUUUGGUCAAGGUAGUUUUUGACGAAGUUAAAGUUACAUCAACUUGAAACUUUAUACCUUUAUACCUUUAUCUUCGGGUCGUUACAUAAGCCAAAGGCUUCUACUGACCCCUCAUCUUGGAUUGUCGUAUAUGAUUUCUCAUCUCAUUAUAAUAUAUUUAUAUAUAAUAUAUUAAACUUAUCAAAAAAUACUUAUUUAGGUGUGCGCAGCUGAAACACUUAACACGAACAUAUGAAUUUAUAUAGUACACAUGUUCCCUAUGAUAUGAUCUUUCUAACUUUAAUUCCAAAUUAAAGUUUUGACCCCAAUUUCACGGUCCACUGAACAUAGAAAAUGAUAGUGCGAGUGGGGCAUUCGUGUACUAUGGACACAUUUUUUUUAAUUUGAUAGAAUAACGCCCCUUUCAAAAUCCGGGAACCGCCCCUAAAGGUAAAAAUAGAUUUGAACUGUGCGGUAUAUCUGAGGUAGUUAAUG
rnacentral:lncRNA from 1 species